GUUAUUAAACAUUGGUAAUAUACCAAUUAACUAAAUAGUAAUUAUUAAUCAUAACGAUGUACCACCGUAUUUGGGUGUAGCCACUGUUGUAGGUGGAAAGUUUGGAAGAUAGGAUACAGACGGAAAUUUAAUGUAUAUCUAUAAGUAACGAUAAACCAUAGCUAACGAAAAAACGAUUCAGAGCGGAGUUCAGUUGAUAUCGCUGCUUUGUUAUCAAUACAAUAUAUAGUAUAUAUCAUAUUAUGGUAAAAUGAUUAAAACAGUUUACGUUUCCAUGACAACAAUAAUUGUUUGAAAAAGAUU